rnacentral:rRNA from 1 species
GAUGAACGCUGGCGGCGCGCCUAACACAUGCAAGUCGAACGGUUAAAGCACCUUUUAGGUGUGUAUAAAGUGGCGAACGGCUGAGUAACACGUGGGCAACCUGCCCUCCUCUUGGGGAUAGCCUCGGGAAACCGAGGAUAAUACCCGAUACUUCAAUGUGGCCGCAUGACGACAUUGUGAAAGCUUUUGCGGAGAAGGAUGGGCCCGCGGCCUGUUAGCUUGUUGGUGGGGUAGAGGCCUACCAAGGCAAUGAUGGGUAGCUGGCCUGAGAGGCCGACCAGGGCCAUGGGGGCUACGGGACGGCCCAGACGCCAACCGGAGGCAGAGGCGGGGAGUUGGGCGAAAUGGGCCGGAGCGUGAUGCAGCAAUGCCGGGUGCGGGAAGCCGGCUUUCGGGGUGAACACCGCUUUCGACGGUGCUGAACCGUGAGUGACGGUAAUGGGUAAGGAAGCACCGGCUAACUACGUG